rnacentral:rRNA from 1 species
ACCCGCUGGACUUAAGCAUAUCACUAAGCGGAGGAAAAGAAACUAACUAAGAUUGCCUCAGUAUCGGCGAGAGAAGCGGCAAGAGCCCAAACUGUAAAUCUCCGCGCCCUCGGUGCGGCGAAUUGUAAUCUGUGGAUUUGUUCUAAGGCCGGCAUUGGUGCAGAAGUGUUUUUGAGUUAACCGCCAGAGAGGGUGAGAGCCCCGUCUGUGGUGCCGAUGUAGGCGUAGGAGCAGGUCUUAAGAGUCGGGUAGUUUUGAAUUGCUGCCCUAAUUGGGAGAUAAACUUCUUCUAAGGCUAAAUAUAUCCGAGAAACCGAUAGCGAACAAGUACUGUGAAGGAAAGAUGAAAAGAACUUUGGAAAAAGAGUUAACAGAUUUGAAACUGUAGAGAAGGAAGCGGUAGAAAUUUAUCGUUCAUAGUUGGCCUGAGUCUUUGCGUAGUCGCGUGGGGAGCAGAGCAACCGCAAGGGGCUUCUUUUCACUCGGCGGAGCGAUGGUUUUGGUCUUCUAUGUUAGACAGGAUGAGUUUGUGCCUGCGCAAAAGCUAGGAUUAGAGCUGAUUUCGGUUAGACUUUUUCUGUGCUGGCGUGGUCAUGGACUGAGGGUGCCUUGUGCGAUUCUGUCAAAAUGGUUUUUACCGACCCGUCUUGAAACACGGACCAAGGAGUCUAGCCUAUGCGCGAGUGUGCUGGUGGAAAAACCAACGCGCGAAAUGAAAGUGAGCGGUGCCAAGCUUCGGCUGCAGCAUCGGCCGACCAUGAUUCUUCGAUGAAAGGUUUGAGUAUGAGCGCAUACGCUAGGACCCGAAAGAUGGUGAACUAUGCCUGAGUAGGGUGAAGCCAGGGGAAACUCUGGUGGAAGCUCGUAGCGAUUCUGACGUGCAAAUCGAUCGUCGAACUUGGGUAUAGGGGCGAAAGACUAAUCGAACCAUCUAGUAGCUGGUUCCCUCCGAAGUUUCCCUCAGGAUAGCUGAGACAUUUUGCAGUUUUAUUAGGUAAAGCGAAUGAUUAGAGGCCUCGGGGGUGAAAUACUCUCGACCUAUUCUCAAACUUUAAAUUGGUAAGAACUUCCAGCUUUCUUAAGUGAGUAUGGAAGGUAGAAUGCGUGUCUCAAGUGGGCCAUUUUUGGUAAGCAGAACUGGCGGUGAGGGAUGAACCUAACGUAGAGUUAAGGUGCCCAACUGCACGCUCAUCAGAUACCACAAAAGGUGUUGGUUCAUAUAGACAGCAGGACGGUGACCAUGGAAGUCGGAAUCCGCUAAGGAGUGUGUAACAACUCACCUGCCGAAUGGACUAGCCCUGAAAAUUGAUGGCGCUUAAGCGUGCGACCGAUACUCUACCAUCGUGGCGAGAGUGCUGCUUCGAUGAGUAGGAGGGCGUGAGAGUCGCGGCGAAGCCUCUGGCGUGAGCCUGGGUUGAGCGGCUUUUAGUGCAGAUCUUGGUGGUAGUAGCAAUUAUUCAAAUGAGAACUUUGAAGGCCGAAGUGGAGAAGGUUUCCGUGAGAACAGCAAUUGGUCACGGGUGACUCGAUCCUAAGACAUUGGGGAACCCCUUGUUAAAUGUGCUCUUUUGCACGCAGUCGAAAGGGAAUGAGGUUAAUAUUCCUCAAGCUGGAUGUGGAUCUUAUAUGGCAACAUUAAAACGAGCCCAGAGACACCAGAGCAUGCCCCUGGAAGAGUUCUCUUUUCUUUUUAACAGGCUAGCGACCUUGAAGUCGGAUUAUCCGGAGAGAAGGUUGUAUGUCUGGAAGAGCGCCUCGCUUUUUGAGGCGUCAGGUGCGCCUGCUAUGGUCCAUGAAAAUCUGGGUAAGAGUAGUAUAUCACUCCAGUUCGUACCAACAACCGCAUCAGGUCUCCAAGGUU